AGGACGAACGCUGGCGGCGUGCUUAACACAUGCAAGUCGAGCGGAAAGGCCCUUCGGGGUACUCGAGCGGCGAACGGGUGAGUAACACGUGAGCAACCUGCCCUUAGCUUCGGGAUAGCUCCGGGAAACCGGAAUUAAUACCGGAUAUGACUAUGGCCGACAUCAGCCAUGGUGGAAAGUUUUUCGGCUAGGGAUGGACUCGCGGCCUAUCAGCUAGUUGGUGAGGUAACGGCUCACCAAGGCGACGACGGGUAGCCGGCCUGAGAGGACGACCAGCCACACUGGGACUGAGACACGGCCCAGACUCCUACGGGAGGCAGCAGUGGGGAAUCUUGCUCAAUGGGCGAAAGCCUGAAGCAGCGACGCCGCGUGCGGGAUGAAGGCCCUCGGGUUGUAAACCGCUUUCAGCAGGGACGAAAUUGACGGUACCUGCAGAGAAGGCCCGGCCAACUACGUGCCAGCAGCCGC
rnacentral:rRNA from 1 species